CAUCAGCAGUGGCUAUAUAGCCCAGCGGCAGAGCAUCGUUGAGCAGAUCGAGCGGAGCUUGCACAACAGAACCAAAACAACAACAAAAAAACGUAUUGGUCGUCGUCAUGGAUCAAUGCAUGGAUCAGUAGACUUCGACGUUCCAUUGCUCGCCCUUCUUGAGCUGCUUCUUGUACUCCAUCCAGUCGAUCCCUGAUGGAUGAUGAUGAUGAUGCGUGGUUAACCAAACCAAUUAAUGCAGCAAAGCAAAGCAACGAGAAGAGAUGACAUAUAUAUGUGUAAUAAGUAGAGAGUAGUACAAUGCAAUGCAAGAAACAGAUAUAUAUUACGCACCGUCCUUUGCUGCUAGAUCGACCAUGAUGUCGUCGAUGCCCUUCUCCAUGCCCUUGAGCCCGCACAUGUAGACGUAGGUGUUGUCCUUCUUGAGCAGCUCCCACAGCUCCUCCUUGUACUCCGCCAUCCGCGUCUGGAUGUACAUCUUCUCCCCCGCCGCGUUCGUCUGCUCCCGGCUCACCGCGAAGUCCAGCCGGAAAUUUUCAGGCGCCAUCUCCUUCAUCUUCUCCAGCUCCUCCUUGUACAGCAGGGUGUCGCUCGUCGGGACUCCCAGGAACAGCCACGCAAGGCCGGUGUACUAUAUAUAAUUUCAGUCAGUUCAUUCCAUUCCUCACACUGAUUUGUAUGUAAAUUGCAUUAUUGUCUGUCUCUGUUGUUUAAUUGAGACUGGCUGCAGGGAGCACAGAUACACACUCUCACCUUGUAGUCCUCGUGCUCCUCGAAGAACAUCUUCCACAAGAAGGAGCGGAACGGAGCGAUACCAGUACCCG
rnacentral:lncRNA from 1 species